GUGUGUGGACAUGCAGAUGGAGCACAGGAUGAGCCUGUUUACUCACUGUGCUGCAAUCUGAAUCCAUAUUGACUAAGUACAGGGGCAGAUCUGUGCAGGGGAGUGGGGUGUGAGAGGCAAGGACAGACUGAGAAAAUGUGCAAUAAACUUUAUAUUGAACAGUUAUUUCUGACUGGGAAGUUUGCAACGUCUGCAGCAUCAGAGAGACAGGGCAGAAGAAAGUAGGUGAGAGAGAAACAAAUUCAGAAAAGCCAGGACCUGGGAGCUUUUCUCGGCAACUGGCGUAAUAAUGCAAAAGCACCAAUGGUGAAUUGUCUGAAAUGCAGUUCAGUGCCUGCCCUGCUCCUUAGCACUCAGGAAGAAAAGUUGGCAAUUUCUGAUGUUGGAGAAUGGCUUUCUUCCCAAAGGAACAUGACUGUUAAUAUCAUUUUUGGUAAACGACUUUUAAGUUCCAGUCCCUACUUUCACUUCUUUCUUUAGGAUCCCAGAACCUAAGGUGUUUCUUCACCCCGUCUCACGAAAUAAAAUCAAGAAAUGAAACUUGCCAGGCAGACAAAACAGCAAACUUUCUGCCUGGGGAAACACACAGCUUUUCUGGGAGUCCUAAAGCAGGCUCCAGCUAAAAAAAAUUCCUGUCCAGCCCUGCUCAGAGUGUGCAAGCCAUUAACAGGAGAGAGAGGAGAGACCCUGAAACACACGCCACCUAUCUUUGUGGGGAGGGAUAAUUGAAGAGCACCAAACGUGAGCAUCAUGUGGAAACGUGAUCGCCAAGUUUCUCUCUGGGAAAGGAUCUGGGAUAGAUUAUACCUUGAAGUCUCCGCAAACGCUUUAGUGGAAGAAA